rnacentral:rRNA from 1 species
AUUGAACGCUGGCGGCAUGCCUUACACAUGCAAGUCGAACGGCAGCACGGGAGCAAUCCUGGUGGCGAGUGGCGAACGGGUGAGUAAUAUAUCGGAACGUGCCCGAGUCGUGGGGGAUAACGUAGCGAAAGCUACGCUAAUACCGCAUACGAUCUCUGGAUGAAAGCGGGGAUCGCAAGACCUCGCGCGAUUGGAGCGGC